rnacentral:rRNA from 1 species
GAUGAACGCUGGCGGCGUGCAUAACACAUGCAAGUCGAACGAUGAAACUUAGUCGACUUCUUCGGAAAGACACUAAGCGGAUUAGUGGCGAACGGGUGAGUAACGCGUGAGUAACCUGCCUUACACAAGGGGAUAGCCUUUGGAAACGAAGAAUAAUACCCUAUAAAACCAUAAAAGCACAUGCUAGAAUGGUCAAAGUGAUAGCGGUGUAAGAUGGACUUGCGUCUGAUUAGCUAGUUGGUGAGAUAAAAGAUCACCAAGGCAACGAUCAGUAGCCGGCGUGAGAGAGGGUACGGCGAUAUUGGGAAUGAGACAAGGCCCAGACUCCUAGGGGAGGGAGCAGUGGGGAAUUUUGCACAAUGGGGGAAACCCUGAUGCAGCGACGCCGCGAGAUUUAGAAGGCCUUCGGGUUGUAAAAAUCUUUUGUAUAGGAAGAAAAUGACAGUACUAUACGAAUAAGGUCCGGCUAAUUACGUG